CAGUAGCCGCGGGAAUACGAAGGGUGCAAGCGUUACUCGGAAUUACUGGGCGUAAAGCGUGCGUAGGUGGUGGUUUAAGUCCGUUGUGAAAGCCCUGGGCUCAACCUGGGAAUUGCAGUGGAUACUGGGUCACUAGAGUAUGGUAGAGGAUAGUGGAAUUUCCGGUGUAGCAGUGAAAUGCGUAGAGAUCGGAAGGAACAUCUGUGGCGAAGGCGACUAUCUGGGCCAACACUGACACUGAGGCACGAAAGCGUGGGGAGCAAACAGGAUUAGAUACCCCUGUAGUCCCUGUCUCUUAUAA
rnacentral:rRNA from 1 species